UACGGAGGGUGCAAGCGUUGUCCGGAAUCACUGGGCGUAAAGGGCGCGUAGGCGGCUCAUGAAGGCUGUGGUGAAAGUCCGGGGCUCAACCUCGGAUCGGCCGUGGCGACUCGUGGGCUGGAGCACUGUAGAGGCGGGUGGAAUUCCGGGUGUAGCGGUGGAAUGCGUAGAGAUCCGGAAGAACACCGGUGGCGAAGGCGGUUCUCUGGGCCUUACCUGACGCUGAGGAGCGAAAGCGUGGGGAGCGAACAGG
rnacentral:rRNA from 1 species